rnacentral:rRNA from 1 species
AUUGAACGCUGGCGGCAUGCUUUACACAUGCAAGUCGGACGAGUGGCGAACGGGUGAGUAACGCAUCGGAACGUACCGAGUAAUGGGGGAUAACUGUCCGAAAGGACAGCUAAUACCGCAUAUUAUUCGAGCGGCCGAUGUCUGAUUAGCUGGUUGGCGGGGUAAAGGCCCACCAAGGCGACGAUCAGUAGCGGGUCUGAGAGGAUGAUCCGCCACACUGGGACUGAGACACGGCCCAGACUCCUACGGGAGGCAGCAGUGAGGAAUAUUGGUCAAUGGGCGUAAGCCUGAACCAGCCAAGUAGCGUGCAGGACGACGGCCUAUGGGUUGUAAACUGCUUUUAUGCGGGGAUAGGUACCGCAUGAAUAAGGACCGGCUAAUUCCGUGCCAGCAGCCGCGGUAAUUC